rnacentral:rRNA from 1 species
CCUACGGGUGGCUGCAGUGGGGAAUUUUGGACAAUGGGCGCAAGCCUGAUCCAGCCAUGCCGCGUGUCUGAAGAAGGCCUUCGGGUUGUAAAGGACUUUUGUUAGGGAAGAAAAAGGAGCGGUUAAUACCCGUUUCUGCUGACGGUACCUAAAGAAUAAGCACCGGCUAACUACGUGCCAGCAGCCGCGGUAAUACGUAGGGUGCGAGCGUUAAUCGGAAUUACUGGGCGUAAAGCGAGCGCAGACGGUUACUUAAGCAGGAUGUGAAAUCCCCGGGCUUAACCUGGGAACUGCGUUCUGAACUGGGUGGCUAGAGUAUGUCAGAGGGGGGUAGAAUUCCACGUGUAGCAGUGAAAUGCGUAGAGAUGUGGAGGAAUACCGAUGGCGAAGGCAGCCCCCUGGGAUAAUACUGACGUUCAUGCUCGAAAGCGUGGGUAGCAAACAGGAUUAGAUACCCCUGUAGUC